rnacentral:misc_RNA from 1 species
AAGUCGUAACAAGGUUUCCGUAGGUGAACCUGCGGAAGGAUCAUUACCACGUAUCCACGUAUAAACCACUGCGAACCGUAUUCCCUUCAAAGGGUUGGGGUCUCUUAACCGAGAGCUUUAGGCCGACAGUCCUCUCAAUUUCGUGAUGGAGAGGCGUGUCUAGAGUUUGCCUGCAAAGGCACCUUGAUCGUUUGGAGCGGUUAUUCAUCACGAACUUCAAACCUUUUAUUAACCCCUUUAAACUUUUUGAACUGAAUCUUAAGCGCGAUGUAAGAGUGGCCUUCGGGACGCUCUGAUCACGUCUUAUACUUUACGAAAUAUUCGAACAAUUCUUAACAACGGAUAUCUUGGCUCUGAUAACGAUGAAGAACGCAGC